GUAAGAUCCCUGAAAGAUGAUCAGGUUGAUAGGUCAGAGGUGGAAGCACGGUGACGUGUGUAGCUGACUGAUACUAAUCGAUCGAGGACUUAACCAAAUU
rnacentral:rRNA from 1 species